rnacentral:rRNA from 1 species
AGUGAACGCUGGCGGUAGGCCUAACACAUGCAAGUCGAACGGCAGCACAGUAAGAGCUUGCUCUUACGGGUGGCGAGUGGCGGACGGGUGAGGAAUACAUCGGAAUCUACUUUUUCGUGGGGGAUAACGUAGGGAAACUUACGCUAAUACCGCAUACGACCUACGGGUGAAAGCAGGGGAUCUUCGGACCUUGCGCGAUUGAAUGAGCCGAUGUCGGAUUAGCUAGUUGGCGGGGUAAAGGCCCACCAAGGCGACGAUCCGUAGCUGGUCUGAGAGGAUGAUCGGCCACCCUGGAACUGAGACACGGUCCAGACUCCUACGGGAGGCAGCAGUGGGGAAUAUUGGACAAUGGGCGCAAGCCUGAUCCAGCCAUACCGCGUGGGUGAAGAAGGCCUUCGGGUUGUAAAGCCCUUUUGUUGGGAAAGAAAAGCAGCAGGUUAAUACCCCGCUGUUCUGACGGUACCCAAAGAGUAAGCACCGGCUAACUUCGUG